GUUGAAACACCAGUUCCCAUACAAUCACUGAAGUUAAGCAACUUCAAGCCUGGUUAGUACCUAGAUGGGUAACUGUUUGAGAAUAAGAGGUACUGUAAG